rnacentral:lncRNA from 1 species
UGGCAAUGUGGUGAAGGGAAAGGUGUUUAACUAAACUCUACUUUCUAGGGGAGUUACGGGACCUGGUGGGGCACUGGACUGGUGCGCACUCCUCUCCCCUUCCUGUAUGGAUAGACACCUGCUAUCUGUGCCUCUCCACCUCCUCUCCUUCCCUCUCUUUGCCUAAGACCUGGGCCUUGAUGGGAGAAAACAGGUUCAGAGCACUUACGGGGCCAUUAGGAGAAGUGCGUCAUGGCCGAGGGCACUGCAUGGCCCCUGCUAAGCUGGCAGGCGUGGCCUGGGUCUCCUGCUUCCAGUUCUGAGAAUUCCAACUCUGAGGCUGCUUGCCUAACAAAAGCUUGUGUCCCGGCUUGCACAGAAUCACAUUGAGGGUUCCACUUUGCUCCUAAUGAGGUAAAUAUAACAGCAGGUUCCAGUGAAACAAUUUGCAUGCCCAUUUGAAGCAAGACUUUAGCUCUGCCAUGCUCAUUUCCAAUACAUUUGUUACUCUUACCUAUUCAAUAGCAUUCAGAUCAUUCAAUGUCUAAUGGAAACCUUCAGUCUCCCUACCCUGUCCUGUUCUUGCUUCUUUUACCCUAAUUCAAUUUUCUCUGUUUCAUCUUCCCUGAUGUUUCAGAAACAUCAUGAUUCAGGCCACACACACAUAAGGAGCAUCCAUCAGGGCUAUGACCCCUCCAGCCCUCACGAAGGUGCUAUAUGGUUCCCGG